rnacentral:rRNA from 1 species
UACGGAGGAUCCAAGCGUUAUCCGGAAUCAUUGGGUUUAAAGGGUCCGUAGGCGGUUUUGUAAGUCAGUGGUGAAAGCCCAUCGCUCAACGGUGGAACGGCCAUUUGAUACUGCAAGACUUGAAUUAUUGGGAAGCAAACUUAGAAUAUGUAGUGUAGCGGUGAAAUGCUUAGAGAUUCAUGGAAUACCAAAUUGCGAAGGCAGGUUGCUA